UGUGUGUGUGUGUGUGUGUGUGUGUGUGUGUGUGCGUGCGUGCGUGUGUGUGCGCGCACGCACACACACACACA